AGCGGGGUGGAGAAGAGGCAUCUCGUAAGGCUCAUAACCUUAAGACCCACGUUCGAUUCGUGGCCCCGCAA
rfam:Parcubacteria bacterium GW2011_GWA1_47_11 TX77_C0009, whole genome shotgun sequence.